UGCCCCAUUCCCCUCCAUCGCUCUCUAUCUCUCAAUUGUGCUUUGAAAAGUAAAACUGAAACAUGAUUUCAGGCAACACAACCUGUCUUUGAAGCACCGAUUCCAAGAAUCACCGCUUCUUUACCUCCGAAAAUGUCAAAAGCAUGGGCUUAGUUCUCCGGCUACGUGAAGAUAUCUCGCCAAUCAAUGGAAUAAAUGUCUUCUUCCCUUGUAUAAACACACUAAUCUUCCACCUUCAACCGUGAAUCAUCAUCCCUAGAUCUCAAUAAAGAUGCGUUCUAGGGUUUAAACAGAGAAAUUAGGGAUCAAGAUGGAGCCAACAAAAAUAGUAGAUGGAAGUUCGUUAAGCAUGGUUAAUGUUGGAUUUAUUGCAUGUACUUAUGCUGUUUAUGUAGUGUAUAUGGGUAGCACUGAAAGUCAAGACCCUAAUGAGAUUGUGUUGCAUAACCAUAGAAUUCUUUCCUCUGUACAUAGUAGCAGGAGCCAAUGGGGGUUAUUCGUGUCUUUUUAACUGGCCAAGAUGAUAUUGAUACGGCCGUUCAAUUAAUCACGGAAGAAGCCCAAAACAACGACAAGUCUUCUCUAGUAUUGAUUGUUUUGCCUUUGUAUUCUGGACUCACUCGUGCAGAUCAGGACUUGGUAUUUUCUCCUUCCCCUAGAGGGAAACAAAAGGUGGUGAUCUCAACCAAUAUUGCACAGACAUCCCUGAUGUUAGAGGGUAUCGUCUAUGUUGUUGAUAGUGGUUUCUCAAAACAACGAUUUUACAACUUGGUAAUUCUUUCACUUUUUUUAGCCAUGCCAUGCUCUUUAUUUGUAAGUGCAGUUCCUGCAGGGUAACUGUCGCUUAUCAGUUCUGGUCAACCAAAGCAGAAGUCCAAGUUAAAGUCAAUGAUAAUG